CUCCAGUGACUUUUUUCCGCAACGAUGGCUACAUAAGUUCAAAACUCUUCUUCACCAGCCAUGAUCAGAAUGACAUAUUGAACAUGUUACAUGCCAUUUACAAAGGCAAUCCCCAAUACCAUCAAGACACAAAAACGCAUUUGCAGGAAAGCAUCAAUGAGGGGAGAUAAAGUGACCAUCUCCAUUUCACCUGGAAUUGGGAA
rnacentral:misc_RNA from 1 species